rnacentral:lncRNA from 1 species
AAAAUCACCACUUGGCAUACAUCCGCACUAGGAUCAUUGCCGAGUUAUAUUUUUCUAAACUACUUUCAAAACUAAGCGAGAUAACCACUUUGUAUACAUUCAUGCAAGAAUCAUUACAAAGUUAAAUUCUCCUUUUCAAAACAUCUUUCACACAUCUCACAAACACUUUUCAAACUAGGAAAACAUAAAUGAUUGAGCAAUUAAGAGCCCAUGGAUAACCAUGGAUACAAAGGGUGCUUACCCCUUCCCUUUGUAUAAAGUACCUCCCGAACCUAAGAAUUUAAAAUUAAGGUCUUUCCUGUUCUUUUCCACCUUUCCUUAGGGGAUAAAAGAAAAGUCGGUGGCGACUCUUGCUAACCGCGACAUUGCGAUUACAAAUCCA